AUGAACAAAGCUAGUGGAGGUGAUGGAAUUCCAGUGGAGCUAUUUCAAAUCCUGAAAGAUGAUGCUGUGAAAGUGCUGCACUCAAUAUGCCAGCAAAUUUGGAAAACUCAGCAGUGGCCACAGGACUGGAAAAGGUCAGUUUUCAUUCCAAUUCCAAAGAAAGGCAAUGCCAAAGAAUGCUCAAACUACCACACAAUUGCACUCAUCUCACAUGCUAUUAAAGCAAUGCUCAAAAUCCUCCAAGCCAGGCUUCAGCAAUACGUGAACUGGGAACUUCCUGAUGUUCAAGCUGGUUUUAGAAAAGGCAGAGGAACCAGAGAUCAAAUGGCCAACAUCCGCUGGAUCAUGGAAAAAGCAAGAGAGUUCCAGAAAAACAUCUAUUUCUGCUUUCUUGACUAUGCCAAAGCCUUUGACUGUGUGGAUCACAAUAAACUGUGGAAAAUUCUGAAAGAGAUGAGAAUAUCAGACCACCUGACUUGCCUCUUGAGAAAUCUGUAUGUAGGUCAGGAAGCAACAGUUAGAACUGGACAUGGAACAACGGACUGGUUCCAAAUAGGAAAAGGAGUACGUCAAGGCUGUAUAUUGUCACCCUGCUUAUUUACCUUAUAUGCAAAGUACAUCAUGAGAAACGCUGGACUGGAAGAAACACAAGCUGGAAUCAAGAUUGCCAGGAGAAAUAUCAAUAACCUCAGAUAUGCAGAUGACAGCACGCUUAUGGCAGAAAGUGAAGAGGAACUCAAAAGCCUCUUGAUGAAAGUGAAAGCUGAGAGUGAAAAAGUUGGCUUAAAGCUCAACAUUCAGAAAACGAAGAUCAUGGCAGCCGGUCCCAUCACUUCAUGGGAAAUAGAUGGGGAAACAGUGGAAACAGUGUCAGACUUUAUUUUGGGGGGCUCCAAAAUCACUGCAGAUGGUGAUUGCAGCCAUGAAAUUAAGAGACACUUACUCCUUAGAAGAAAAGUUAUGAUCAACCUAGAUAGCAUAUUCAAAAGCAGAGAUAUUACUUUGCCGACUAAGGUUCGUCUAGUCAAGGCUAUGGUUUUUCCAGUAGUCAUGUAUGGAUGUGAGAGUUGGACUGUGAAGAAGGCUGAGCGCCGAAGAAUUGAUGCUUUUGAACUGUGGUGUUGGAGAAGACGCUUGAGAGUCCCUUGGACUGCAAGGAGAUCCAACCAGUCCAUUCUGAAGGAGAUCAACCCUGGGAUUUCUUUGGAAGGAAUGAUGCUAAAGCUGAAACUCCAGUACUUUGGCUACCUCAUGCGAAGAGUUGACUCAUUGGAAAUGACUCUGGUGCUGUGA
rnacentral:lncRNA from 1 species